AUGACUUGGCCCACUGGCUUCUAUGUGACCAAGGUCAAAUGCAAGUGCAGGUCAGAACCUAAUCCAUUCAAUAGCAAGAGCAAUAAGAUGCAAUGUCUAGGUUUGGCGGAUCUUGACAGAGCAAUAUGGAGGCAGAAGUCGCGUUUCCUUCGGCUAAAGGAGGGAGAUAGAAACACAAAAAUUCUCCGUAUGAAGGCAACAACGCGAUCUAGAAAGAAUAUGAUUCAGUCCCUGCAGGUUGGGGAUGUCACGGUGGUGGACCAGCAGCAGAAGGAGGAUAUUUUUGGGACCAUUUUAAUAGCAUUCUCUGUGCUUACCAACCUCCAACCGCUGGACUCAAUCUUGCCCAGCUUGGAAUGGAAUUCUGCGAUCACUCUGAUCUAG
rnacentral:rRNA from 1 species